CAUGCAAGUCGAACGAGAAAGGGGAGCAAUCCCUGAGUAAAGUGGCGUACGGGUGAGUAACACGUGGGUAAUCUACCUUUUGGUGGGGGAUAACGCUGGGAAACCGGCGCUAACACCGCAUGAGCUCGUCAUUUAAGAUGAUGAGGAAAAGAGAAAUCUGCCGAAAGAGGAGCCCGCGGCUGAUUAGCUAGUUGGUGAGGUAAAGGCUCACCAAGGCUACGAUCUGUAUCCGACCUGAGAGGGUGGUCGGACACACCGACACUGAAUAACGGGUCAGACUCCUACGGGAGGCAGCAGUCGGGAAUUUUGGGCAAUGGGCGAAAGCCUGACCCAGCAACGCCGCGUGAAGGAUGAAGUCUUUCGGGAUGUAAACUUCGUAAGAAUAGGAAGAAUAAAUGACGGUACUAUUUGUAAGGUCCGGCUAACUACGUGCCAGCAGCCGCGGUAAUACGUAGGGACCAAGCGUUGUUCGGAUUUACUGGGCGUAAAGGGCGCGUAGGCGGCGUGUCAAGUCAAUUGUGAAAUCUCCGAGCUUAACUCGGAACGGUCAAUUGAUGCUGAUGUGCUAGAGUGCAGAAGGGGCAAUCGGAAUUCUUGGUGUAGCGGUGAAAUGCGUAGAUAUCAAGAGGAACACCUGANGUGAAGACGGGUUGCUGGGCUGACACUGACGCUGAGGCGCGAAAGCUAGGGUAGCAAACGGGAUUAGAUACCCCGGUAGUCCUAGCCCUAAACGAUGAAUACUUGGUGUCUGGAGUUUUAAUUCUCCGGGUGCCGUCGCUAACGUUUU
rnacentral:rRNA from 1 species